rnacentral:tRNA from 1 species
GUUGAUAUAAGCUGCAAAGACGAAUUCCCAUGACUGGCAGUCAUGAGGUCGCGGGUUCGAUCCCCGCUGGCUCCA